rnacentral:misc_RNA from 1 species
AGAAAAGCAGGACAAAGCCGGUGGUUAGGCAGACGCCCCAUUGUUCGUGGUGUUGCAAUGAAUCCAGUGGAUCAUCCUCAUGGAGGAGGUGAGGGGCGCACGAAAGGAGGUAGACCCUCGGUAUCACCUUGGGGGAAGCCCACCAAAGCAGGAUUUCGGGCAGUUGUGGGGGUGGGGAAAGGUAGAAUUUAGUUAAUGCCACGACGAUCUAUAUGGAAGGGCAGUUUUGUUGAUGCUUUCCUGUUUAGAAUGAAAAAGAACAGAUCAAGUCUUUUGAGCAGGAAAAUUUGGUCACGUAGAUCUUCUAUUUUGCCGGAAUUCGUUGAUUGCUCCGUGCUCAUUUACAAUGGAAAAACUUUUCUUCGUUGUAAGAUUACUGAAGGAAAGGUUGGUCAUAAAUUUGGCGAGUUUGCUUAUACACGGAGACGAAGACCCUCGAGAACAAAUAAAGGAAAGGUAAGAAAAGGUAAAAAGUAAGUCAAGUCUAUAAGUAUGGCACGAAAAGGAAA